AUUGAACGCUGGCGGCAGGCCUUACACAUGCAAGUCGAACGAGUGGCGGACGGGUGAGUAAUGUCUGGGAAACUGCCUGAUGGAGGGGGAUAACUACUGGAAACGGUAGCUAAUACCGCAUACCAUCGGAUCGGCCCAGAUGGGAUUAGCUAGUUGGUGGGGUAAAGGCUCACCUAGGCAACGAUCCCUAGCUGGUCUGAGAGGAUGACCAGCCACACGGGGAGUGAGACACGGUCCAGACUCCUACGGGAGGCAGCAGUGGGGAAUAUUGGACAAUGGGGGAAAGCCUGAUGCAGCCAUGCCGCGUGUAUGAAGAAGGCCUUCGGGUUGUAAAGUACUUUCGGCGGGGAGGCGUUAUCUGCAGAAGAAGCACCGGCUAACUCCGUGCCAGCAGCCGCGGUAAUUC
rnacentral:rRNA from 1 species